rnacentral:rRNA from 1 species
CAGCAGUGGGGAAUAUUGCACAAUGGGGGAAACCCUGAUGCAGCCAUGCCGCGUGUGUGAAGAAGGCCUUCGGGUUGUAAAGCACUUUCAGUAGGAGGAAGGUAGUGUAGUUAACACCUGCAUUAUUUGACGUUACCUACAGAAGAAGCACCGGCUAACUCCGUGCCAGCAGCCGCGGUAAUACGGAGGGUGCGAGCGUUAAUCGGAAUUACUGGGCGUAAAGCGCAUGCAGGCGGCCUGUUAAGUCAGAUGUGAAAGCCCGGGGCUUAACCUCGGAAUUGCAUUUGAAACUGGCAGGCUAGAGUCUUGUAGAGGGGGGUAGGAAUUUCAGGUGUAGCGGUGAAAUGCGUAGAGAUCUGAAGGAAUACCAGUGGCGAAGGCGGCCCCCCUGGACAAAGACUGACGCUCAGAUGCGAAAGCGUGGGGAGCAAACAGGAUUAGAUACCCCUGGUAG